rnacentral:misc_RNA from 1 species
GAUGAAGAACGUAGCGAAAUGCGAUAAGUAAUGUGAAUUGCAGAAUUCAGUGAAUCAUCGAAUCUUUGAACGCACAUUGCGCCCGCCAGUAUUCUGGCGGGCAUGCCUGUUCGAGCGUCAUUACAACCCUCAGGCCCCCGGGCCUGGCGUUGGGAUCGGCAGAAGCCCCCUGUGGGCACACGCCGUCCCUCAAAUACAGUGGCGGUCCCGCCGCAGCUUCCAUUGCGUAGUAGCUAACACCUCGCAACUGGAGAGCGGCGCGGCCAUGCCGUAAAACACCCAACUUCUGAAUGUUGACCUCGAAUCAGGUAGGAAUACCCGCUGAACUUAAGCAUAUCAUAAGCGGAGGA